rnacentral:lncRNA from 1 species
CCCGGCCCGCCCCCGCGCCGCAGCAGGGAGGUGUCGCCGUGUCCCGGCGCGGAGCAGCGGCGCAGCGCGGAGUUGCGCUAUAGCUGCUAUCUUUGCACGCUAAUGUAGCUCCACCGCUGCGCGGUGCCUGGGGGAGCGCGGCGGUGUUGCUGCACUGGUCGCAGGGUGUUUCGUAACGGGACUGGUAAAGCCGGCGCUCGAAGAGCGGCGAACAGCGGUGUGAGAAGAGAGGACUCCUGGAGCGGAGGGCGACAGGCUCGUCUCACACGUGCAGAGAGGUCCUCUCAGCCCUGCCAGGCARGCAAAAGGAAAGUAAAGAAAAAGAUGUUCUGAUUAAAUUUAACCUAUGGAGUUGGAGAAAUCCAGCUGUAGAAAAGCGGAAGAGGUAAAUUACAACAGAAUGUAUCCUUCAAAUGCUGAAUC